rnacentral:rRNA from 1 species
UACAGAGGUCCCAAGCGUUGUUCGGAUUCACUGGGCGUAAAGGGUGCGUAGGUGGUCGGGUAAGUCUGAUGUGAAAUCUCCGAGCUCAACUCGGAAAUGGCAUUGGAUACUAUUCGGCUGGAGGGUUGGAGGGGGGACUGGAAUACUUGGUGUAGCAGUGAAAUGCGUAGAUAUCGGGAGGAACACCAGUGGCGAAGGCGGCUUCCUGGCCUGUUCUUGACGCUGAGGCGCGAAAGCUAGGGGAGCAAACGGG